UAGCACGUAGAAAUACCUUUCUAACAAUAUAAGGACCAGACCAAUCACAGAUCGGAGCAAGGAGAUAUGAUCGUCUCAAUAUGGCUAAUAGUAAGGCACUUAAAAUUCUAUAGAAUCGGCUAAGUUUUCGAUACGUCUGCCUUCCAGUCAAAUUUCGUGAAAAUCCGUUGGGAAUUUGAGGAAACUUAAAACAUGAAAGUUGUAGCCCUUUGAAAUAGAUUUCCAACGGUAUAUUGUGGAGCCCAAACAGAGCUCUGUACAAGAAGUUAUGUCCAUUUUACCAAAUACUGUGCAGAACCGACACAGGUCCCUUGUGAGGGAGCGUGCGGGCGCGUGUACGGGCUCCGCGUCGCGCACCAAUCGCACAAAAAAUCCCUCUUUGAAUAUUGACCUGCAGGGGGUCAUAUGCUGCAUGUGCGUCGCGGUCCCAUCGCAUAACAGGUCAGGUUUCGGGUCAAAAGUCGGGAUUUCGCGUUUUAAGUUAUAUUUAAGCUUGAGGUUUAUUUUCGUAACACCCUUAGUCACGAAAUAUCACUCUAAAGUCAGAGGGAACAAGUCCCAAGCCUCAAGAACCCUCCAAGGUAAGUUUUAUCAUGAUUCUAGGUUGAAUUCAAGUCCCUAAUCUCUUUCUAACGUGAGUAUACCCUUCUAAUCAAUAGAGUUGUGAGUGGAACAUUAUUGUUGGGCGUGGAAACCCUAGAACUCGAAUUCAAGAGGAUUGAACGUCAAAAAGAUCAAAGUUGAAAGGGUUGACGAACAUUGUAUUAUGCUCAAAGGCUGGAAUUAAGGCAACGACAUAUAGGUUGACGAUCCAGCUACUUAGGAGUGUUCGUAUCAGCUACUUUGGUGAGCCCCAACUUCCUUCGGGGCGAUAUCAGUCAUGCAGUUCUUACAGCUUUCUAGACGAUUACCUUUUUGUA